rnacentral:rRNA from 1 species
CAGUCGUGCUGGCGCGAAAUCAACCCUCUCGUCGGGAGACCACAUGUUGUGACGAGCCUCAAAACCGCCACGGCGUGUGAUAUCAAGUUGAGGGGGAGCACUUUCGUGUCCGCUGGUUAACAUCAAUUUCGAACGUCAUAAAAAGGCUGGAGGGAUGUGGCUCCUUCGGGAGUGGUUAUAACCUUUAGCGGAAUGUGGUGAUCGGGAUUGAGGAUUGCAACGAAUACCCUUCGGGGCUACCUGUCUGAUCUCUGAUCGUUGCUCUGGUACCGAAAGCGUGCUUACGGUUAUCAAAGUCGAUGGUCAACAGGUUAGAACGGGUUAAUUCGUUAAGGAUGUUAGACGUAAGUGGUACUUUAAACGG